AAUCAACGCUGGCGGCGUGCCUAACACAUGCAAGUCGAACGCGAAAGCCCCGCAAGGGGUCAGUAGAGUGGCAAACGGGUGAGUAACGCGUGGGUGACCUGCCUUCGAGUGGGGGAUAACGUCUCGAAAGGGACGCUAAUACCGCAUGACAUCUUGCCUUUGAAGAGGUGACGAUCAAAGCCGGGGUCGCAAGACCUGGCGCUUGAAGAGGGGCCCGCGUCCGAUUAGCUAGNGGUGAGGUAAUGGCUCACCAAGGCGACGAUCGGUAGCCGGCCUAAGAGGGCGGACGGCCACACUGGGACUGAGACACGGCCCAGACUCCUACGGGAGGCAGCAGUGGGGAAUUGUUCGCAAUGGGCGCAAGCCUGACGACGCAACGCCGCGUGGAGGACGAAGAUCUUCGGGUCGUAAACUCCUGUCGAGCGGGACGAAUGG
rnacentral:rRNA from 1 species